GCUGGCGGCGUGCUUAACACAUGCAAGUCGAACGAUGAACCUCACUUGUGGGGGGAUUAGUGGCGAACGGGUGAGUAACACGUGAGUAACCUGCCCUUGACUCUGGGAUAAGCCUGGGAAACCGGGUCUAAUACUGGAUACGACCUUCUGGCGCAUGCCAUGUUGGUGGAAAGCUUUUGUGGUUUUGGAUGGACUCGCGGCCUAUCAGCUUGUUGGUGGGGUAAUGGCCUACCAAGGCGACGACGGGUAGCCGGCCUGAGAGGGUGACCGGCCACACUGGGACUGAGACACGGCCCAGACUCCUACGGGAGGCAGCAGUGGGGAAUAUUGCACAAUGGGCGCAAGCCUGAUGCAGCGACGCCGCGUGAGGGAUGAAGGCCUUCGGGUUGUAAACCUCUUUCAGUAGGGAAGAAGCGAAAGUGACGGUACCUGCAGAAGAAGCGCCGGCUAACUACGUGCCAGCAGCCGCGGUAAUACGUAGGGCGCAAGCGUUAUCCGGAAUUAUUGGGCGUAAAGAGCUCGUAGGCGGUUUGUCGCGUCUGCCGUGAAAGUCCGGGGCUUAACUCCGGAUCUGCGGUGGGUACGGGCAGACUAGAGUGCAGUAGGGGAGACUGGAAUUCCUGGUGUAGCGGUGAAAUGCGCAGAUAUCAGGAGGAACACCGAUGGCGAAGGCAGGUCUCUGGGCUGUAACUGACGCUGAGGAGCGAAAGCAUGGGGAGCGAACAGGAUUAGAUACCCUGGUAGUCCAUGCCGUAAACGUUGGGCACUAGGUGUGGGGGACAUUCCACGUUUUCCGCGCCGUAGCUAACGCAUUAAGUGCCCCGCCUGGGGAGUACGGCCGCAAGGCUAAAACUCAAAGGAAUUGACGGGGGCCCGCACAAGCGGCGGAGCAUGCGGAUUAAUUCGAUGCAACGCGAAGAACCUUACCAAGGCUUGACAUGAACCGGAAUGAUGCAGAGAUGUGUCAGCCACUUGUGGCCGGUUUACAGGUGGUGCAUGGUUGUCGUCAGCUCGUGUCGUGAGAUGUUGGGUUAAGUCCCGCAACGAGCGCAACCCUCGUUCCAUGUUGCCAGCGGGUUAUGCCGGGGACUCAUGGGAGACUGCCGGGGUCAACUCGGAGGAAGGUGGGGACGACGUCAAAUCAUCAUGCCCCUUAUGUCUUGGGCUUCACGCAUGCUACAAUGGCCGGUACAAAGGGUUGCGAUACUGUGAGGUGGAGCUAAUCCCAAAAAGCCGGUCUCAGCCGGAUUGAGGUCUGCAACUCGACCUCAUGAAGUUGCAGUCGCUAGCACUCGCAGAUCAGCACCGCUGCGGUGAACACGUCCCCGGGCCUUGUACCCACCGCCCGUCAAGUC
rnacentral:rRNA from 1 species